GCCCUUGUAGCUCAUCAGGAUAGAGCGAUCGCCUCCUAAGCGAUAGGUAGCAGGUUCGAGUCCUGCCAAGGGCA